CGUGCUUAACACAUGCAAGUCGAACGGUAAGGCCCUUCGGGGUACACGAGUGGCGAACGGGUGAGUAACACGUGGGUGAUCUGCCCUGCACUUCGGGAUAAGCCUGGGAAACUGGGUCUAAUACCGGAUAUGACCUCUGCCCUGCAUGGGUGGGGUGGAAAGCUUUUGCGGUGUGGGAUGGGCCCCGCGGCCUAUCAGCUUGUUGGUGGGGUUAAGGCCUACCAAGGCGACGACGGGUAGCCGGCCUGAGAGGGUGUCCGGCCACACUGGGACUGAGGUACGGCCCCAGACUCC
rnacentral:rRNA from 1 species